rnacentral:lncRNA from 1 species
GGCUUAAGUGGCCAAGCAGAGGGUCAUUGCAUGACUUUUAUGAGGCGCCGCUAGCCAUUGUUUCAAACCGUCCUGAAUCACGGACCAAGCCUUGCAAGACCUCACUCUUAUGCCCUCUCCUUUUUGGUGGAUCGGGUCUUGCCAUCUUCCCCUCUCGUGGCUCCCUGUCAUAAAUAAAUUGUAUAUUUUUCUGA